UCCUAUUCGUCCUCCGCAGCAGGCAGUGUUGUGUCGACUACGUCUGGAUAGCAACUCAUCUCCAUCCUCGCCCCAAGCAGUGUCGCCUCACCUCUACUUCCUCGCCUAAGCGGUACCGCCUAUGGUCUCCGCUUCACCGCCAAUGGUGAGAUUUCUUUGUUAUUUUUGUCAUUUAGCCAUUAGUAAUCUUGUAAUGGGCAUUGAUAUAGUGUUGAAAUUUUCUUGGUUACUCAGCUAUUUCAGAUGUAAAAAUGAUGUUAUAUAGGGUUGAAAUUGUGCGAUUAUUCUCAGGUGUUUGUUUUUGUUUCUUGAAGUCUGAUUUACUCAGCAAGGAAGGGAUGUGAUACUGUAUAAUGUUUAUCAGGAGCAUGGUAGCCCAGUGGCAAAAGCUUCUAUGUAUGCAGUUGGAAGUGGAUAAGUGUCAGGCUCUUCCUACAGGAUGUCUACUAGUUCAGUUCUAGUCAUAAACAAAGGUGAUAGUUGCUUGUACUUUGCUCAGUUACUUUGAUGUCAACAUUUGAGUUCUACAUAAUAUAGUUUUUUUUUAAAAAAAAAAAACUAUAUUAUGUAGAAUGAUAGAUUUUCCUUCCAUAUCAUGUAUAAUUGAUCCAUUUCUUUCCAUAACUAUAUCAUGUAUAAUGAUUGAUUUCUGUUUGUAGCAAUGCGACCACAAGCAAGCUUAUAAGAUGCAUUGAUUUCUGUUCUUUGUAGCCACCAGCCAUCUAUGAUCAAAGGCCACAUAUUCUGCUUUAAAUUGUUUAUCAAGUUUUGAGUUGCUAACCACAUAUGCCACGUGGUUACAUGCUCUGUCUUUAGGUAACACUCCCUCUGUUUAUGCAGUUAUGCUUUAUCUGAUUGGUUCAAAAUAAUUUGUAUUGGCAAUAACUCUCGGGUUUUUAAUAUAGUAUUUUUCUGUUAGUUUUCCAUAUCUCAAAAAUAGGGCAACAUGAUUUGUUAUUAUGUGCCGCUCUUCAAAAUUUGCGGGAGAUUCUUUUUUGUGAAUCUGGGUCUGUCUAGGACACAUCUAGAUGUGACAUAGUUAUGUCACAUCUAAGCCGAUGUCCACUCUGUUUGUGGUCCAUUUUUUUCCUAGUUUUUUUGUUUCUUGUUGUUGCAUUAUAUAUUUGCGGGAGCUUAGAUGUGACAUGCUUAAAAAACAUCUAGAUGUGAAUAAGACAAACUGAAUCUCAAAGGAUACACUAGCUAUUGUCUACUGGUACUAGAUAUGACAUUUGGCCUGCUUUCCUGAAUUAGUUGAGAUAUGGUAAUAUUUAUCUGCUUUAGUUCAGAUAAAGAUGUGUUUCAUGGGUUCUCUCACCUACUCAUAUCCAGGUUCCAGGUCCUAUUUCAUUACCUUAGAGUACUACUUGGCCAGCUAAUGCAUAUCCUAGCCUCUAGUAUGUAAACAAUACUUGAGCUAAUUGAGGAAGGCCUCUUGAGUAAUAUGGUUGAUCUAAUUAUGUAAUAAUGAUUGCUUGCUAUGAUGAAGUGUUACACAUUUAGAAGAUUUUUAUUUAUGUCGAUGAGUUAAACUGCAGCACAUCAAAAUCUUCAAUGUGUUAAUUUAAAAUCAAAUGAGAGCUCCAUUUGAGUUUCUGUUCUGUUGCAGGCUUCCCAAGGGUACAUAAGUUGAUGGAGUUGUGGAAGAUCUGCAAGCUGCUGGAGGUUUGGAAGACCUACAGUUAAUUUGGUCAAGUGAUAUAUGCCUCGUUUGCUGAACCCAGAGACAUUGGCAAGUUUUCCUAUGCUUAUUUGGUGGUUGUUUUGGUACACAAGCCAUUAUGUGCUCAUUUUGGUUGUGUGACGCAUAUAAAAACAUAUGUACUGAACCUUUUGUAGCACGAGCUCCUUGUAUAUGGUCGUUUCAUACAUGUAUCUAGAAACAUGUGUAUUUGGUCUGGCAUGUGUAAUUGAAUGAAGUUUAAGGUUGAUUGAAGUGUAUGUAU
rnacentral:lncRNA from 1 species